GGCCUCACUUUCUGCCUCUAAAAACAGAUUUUUAUUUUCCAAAGCUGUCUUCUUUCCUUCACUGACCAGGUAUCCCUCUGGCAUUCCAUACAACCCGGCAGGACAAGUUUGAUCUCUGCUGAUUUCAGCUGCUAACAUGUUUCAGUGGAAACAGACCACAUCCAAGCCACAGCCUUCAGAAUCAUGCUGGGACAGUUAGGUGACUGAGGAGAAAUUUUGACUCAUCGAAAAUAGUCUUCUUGACCCUUGUUCUCAUCUAAUUUAUAUUUUUCAUUUCAUAAAUGGAGUUGACUUGACUGAGUCAGCCCAGGAGCCUGCUAUUUUGGGGAGAAAAGUCUAUAAUAAACUCCAUGAAAUUAGUCCUCUGAGAGUGUGGGCAGAGAGGUGACAGUGACUGUGCAACCCUUGAGGCACAAGUGUUUCUGUGACGUGAUGUUGUCAUCCACAUGCAGGCCUGAGAAACCAAGGAGAGCCCUUGAAAGGGGGCAGGAAGAGGAGGAGAAAGAGAAGUGACUUUUACUGAGCACCUACUGCAUUCCAAGCACAGCACAAGGCACUGUGUAUACAGAGACACAUAAGAUGCUGUCUCAGUCCUGAAUAGACAUCAGCUAACAUGUAAGAAAUCCCACAAAAACACAGUAUCAAGAAGGAAGAGGAGAAGGUGGAGCAGAUAGGGAAGGAGGAAAAAUAAAGAAACAAAAGGAAUUACAGCAAAACAAGGGUAGUAAGAAGAUGAAAAUGCUCAGCACGGAUCUGAAGAAUGUACCGUAGGACCGGGACGGAGAGAAACAGGGUGAAGAAAGCAGCUGAAGAUCAGAGUUUGUUUUGAAAGUAACCAGCUUUUGUGCAUCACUGUCCACGCUUGUGGAAGACAGGCCCUGCGGCAUGCUGUAGAAUUUCAGCCUCCCUGAUGGGUGUUGGCCCUGCUGUCUGUCCCUGUUGGAGGAGCUGAGAUGCCGCCCGGCCCCUCGUCCCCCAGACACAGGCACUCACACACAGAAUGACUGCACAGCCCAGCUCCUCGCUGCCUUUAACUCAGUGAAUCUGCUGUCGCACUGUUUGUUGGCCUUGAGGCACAAUGUCCUUAUUUGGGAGCCUCAAAAUAACAGGCUAACAUUGCUCAAAGCAGCUUUGGGAAGAGGGCAGGUGUCUGAGAGGCUGAGAGGCCAACUGAGCAACUUUUUAGCUGAAACCACGGGCCACACCAGGAACAAACCACUGGACCAAAUUGAUUCAAGACACCUGCUCCGGACCCAGUUUCUUCUCCUCACCCCUAACUCUGCCCAGCACCUCCCACUUCCUCUCUGUUCCCCAUCCCAUCCCAGAUUUGUAUUUAAAUGUCUGCAUAAUGCAUGUGCUCUGCAUGUUUUGAAGUACUUUCUAUCAAGUCCCUCAUUUUAAAAAUGUUUCUUUUAAAUGAAGCUAUGCAUAACCUCUUUUUGAGGCUCUCUUUGGCUUUUUUUGCACAAUUUUAAAUUGACCAGGCCUACUUGCAAAAAUAAAGACAUUUUUUCUGCUCUUUGUUCUAAGUCU
rnacentral:lncRNA from 1 species